rnacentral:rRNA from 1 species
AGAAGGCCUCUGAUUUUCACGAAAGACUUCGGUCGCCGAUGGAUGGGGAUGCGUACGAUUAGGCAGCAGGCGGGGUAACGGCCCACCUGGCCAACGAUCGUUAGGGGUUCUGAGAGGAAGGUCCCCCACACUGGUACUGAGACACGGACCAGACUCCUACGGGAGGCAGCAGUGAGGAAUAUUGGUCAAUGGGCGGAAGCCUGAACCAGCCAAGUAGCGUGCAGGAUGACUGCCCUAUGGGUUGUAAACUGCUUUUAUGCGGGGAUAAAGUGGGCCACGCGUGGCUUAUUGCAGGUACCGCAUGAAUAAGGACCGGCUAAUUCCGUGCCAGCAGCCGCGGUAAUACGGAAGGUCCGGGCGUUAUCCGGAUUUAUUGGGUUUAAAGGGAGCGUAGGCGGACUGUUAAGCGUGUCGUGAAAAGCAUCGGCUCAACCGGUGUCGUGCGGCGCGGACUGGCGGUCUUGAGUGGGUAGAAAGCCGGCGGAAUUCGUGGUGUAGCGGUGAAAUGCUUAGAUAUCACGAAGAACUCCGAUUGCGAAGGCAGCUGGCUGUAUCCUUACUGACGCUAAAGCUCGAAAGC